UACGUAGGGUGCAAGCGUUGUCCGGAAUUAUUGGGCGUAAAGAGCUCGUAGGCGGUUUGUCGCGUCUGCUGUGAAAACCCGAGGCUCAACCUCGGGCCUGCAGUGGGUACGGGCAGACUAGAGUGCGGUAGGGGAGAUUGGAAUUCCUGGUGUAGCGGUGGAAUGCGCAGAUAUCAGGAGGAACACCGAUGGCGAAGGCAGAUCUCUGGCCGUAACUGACGCUGAGACACGAAAGCGUGGGUAGCAAACAGG
rnacentral:rRNA from 1 species